AGAUUUCUGAAAGACACUGCUCAAGAGCAGUGUUUUUACAGAUUGAAGUAAAUUUGUUAUAAUUAUGGCGCGCGCUUUCCUAUUGGGAUAUGCGGAGGAAGAA